GGGGAAUAUUGGACAAUGGGCGAAAGCCUGAUCCAGCCAUGCCGCGUGAGUGAUGAAGGCCUUAGGGUUGUAAAGCUCUUUCAGUGGGGAAGAUAAUGACGGUACCCACAGAAGAAGCCCCGGCUAACUUCGUGCCAGCAGCCGCGGUAAUACGAAGGGGGCUAGCGUUGUUCGGAUUUACUGGGCGUAAAGCGCACGUAGGCGGAUUGGUCAGUUAGGGGUGAAAUCCCGGAGCUCAACUCCGGAACUGCCUUUAAUACUGCCAGUCUAGAGUCCGGAAGAGGUGAGUGGAACUCCUAGUGUAGAGGUGGAAUUCGUAGAUAUUAGGAAGAACACCAGUGGCGAAGGCGGCUCACUGGUCCGGUACUGACGCUGAGGUGCGAAAGCGUGGGGAGCAAAC
rnacentral:rRNA from 1 species